rnacentral:rRNA from 1 species
GACGAACGCUGGCGGCGUGCUUAACACAUGCAAGUCGAACGGAAAGGCCUGCAGCUUGCUGCGGGUACUCGAGUGGCGAACGGGUGAGUAACACGUGGGUGAUCUGCCUUGCACUUCGGGAUAAGCUUGGGAAACUGGGUCUAAUACCGGAUAGGACAGCUGUUUAGUGUCAGUUGUGGAAAGUUUUUUCGGUGCAAGAUGAGCUCGCGGCCUAUCAGCUUGUUGGUGGGGUAAUGGCCUACCAAGGCGUCGACGGGUAGCCGGCCUGAGAGGGUGUACGGCCACAUUGGGACUGAGAUACGGCCCAGACUCCUACGGGAGGCAGCAGUGGGGAAUAUUGCACAAUGGGCGGAAGCCUGAUGCAGCGACGCCGCGUGGGGGAUGAAGGCCUUCGGGUUGUAAACUCCUUUCGUCAGGGACGAAGCGUAAGUGACGGUACCUGUAUAAGAAGCACCGGCUAACUACGUGCCAGCAGCCGCGGUAAUACGUAGGGUGCGAGCGUUGUCCGGAAUUACUGGGCGUAAAGAGCUCGUAGGUGGUUUGUCGCGUCGUCUGUGAAAUUCCGGGGCUUAACUCCGGGCGUGCAGGCGAUACGGGCUGACUUGAGUGCUGUAGGGGAGACUGGAAUUCCUGGUGUAGCGGUGAAAUGCGCAGAUAUCAGGAGGAACACCGAUGGCGAAGGCAGGUCUCUGGGCAGUAACUGACGCUGAGGAGCGAAAGCAUGGGUAGCGAACAGGAUUAGAUACCCUGGUAGUCCAUGCCGUAAACGGUGGGCGCUAGGUGUAGGGGGCUUCCACGUCUUCUGUGCCGUAGCUAACGCAUUAAGCGCCCCGCCUGGGGAGUACGGCC